UACGAAGGGGGCUAGCGUUGCUCGGAAUUACUGGGCGUAAAGCGCACGUAGGCGGCUCUUUAAGUCGGGGGUGAAAUCCUGGAGCUCAACUCCAGAACUGCCUUCGAUACUGUAGAGCUUGAGUUCGGGAGAGGUGAGUGGAACUGCGAGUGUAGAGGUGAAAUUCGUAGAUAUUCGCAAGAACACCAGUGGCGAAGGCGGCUCACUGGCCCGAUACUGACCGCUGAGGUGCGAAAGCGGUUGGGGGAGCAAAACAGG
rnacentral:rRNA from 1 species